rnacentral:rRNA from 1 species
UACGGAGGAUGCAAGCGUUAUCCGGAUUUAUUGGGUUUAAAGGGCGCGUAGGCGGCUUGAUAAGUCUGGAGUGAAAGUCCUGCUUUUAAGGUGGGAAUUGCUUUGGAUACUGUCGGGCUUGAGUGCAGGAGAGGUAAGUGGAAUUCCCGGUGUAGCGGUGAAAUGCGUAGAGAUCGGGAGGAACACCAGUGGCGAAGGCGACUUACUGGACUGUAACUGACGCUGAGGCGCGAAAGUGCGGGGAGCAAACAGGAUUAGAUACCCGCGUAGUCCCU